rnacentral:tRNA from 1 species
AACGCUGGAGCCAGACGGCAAGGCAUCCGACUGCAACUCGGACGAAGUGGGUUCGACUCCCACCGGCGUUUC